AACGAACGCUGGCGGCAUGCCUAACACAUGCAAGUCGAACGAGACCUUCGGGUCUAGUUGCGCACGGGUGCGUAACGCGGGGGAACCUGCCCUUAGGUUCGGAAUAACUCCCCGAAAGGGGUGCUAAUACCGGAUAAUGUCUUCGGACCAAAGAUUUAUCGCCUUUGGAUGGGCCCGCGUUGGAUUAGCUAGUUGGUAGGGUAAAAGCCUACCAAGGCGACGAUCCAUAGCUGGUCUGAGAGGAUGAUCAGCCACACUGGGACUGAGACACGGCCCAGACUCCUACGGGAGGCAGCAGUGGGGAAUAUUGGACAAUGGGCGAAAGCCUGAUCCAGCAAUGCCGCGUGAGUGAUGAAGGCCUUAGGGUUGUAAAGCUCUUUUACCCGGGAUGAUAAUGACAGUACCGGGAGAAUAAGCUCCGGCUAACUCCGUG
rnacentral:rRNA from 1 species